rnacentral:rRNA from 1 species
GACGAACGCUGGCGGCGUGCUUAACACAUGCAAGUCGAACGGAAAGGCCCUGCUUUUGUGGGGUGCUCGAGUGGCUAACGGGUGAGUAACACGUGAGUAACCUGCCCUUGACUUUGGGAUAACUUCAGGAAACUGGGGCUAAUACCGGAUAGGAGCUCCUGCUGCAUGGCGGGGGUUGGAAAGUUUCGGCGGUUGGGGAUGGACUCGCGGCUUAUCAGCUUGUUGGUGGGGUAGUGGCUUACCAAGGCUUUGACGGGUAGCCGGCCUGAGAGGGUGACCGGCCACAUUGGGACUGAGAUACGGCCCAGACUCCUACGGGAGGCAGCAGUGGGGAAUAUUGCACAAUGGGCGGAAGCCUGAUGCAGCAACGCCGCGUGCGGGAUGACGGCCUUCGGGUUGUAAACCGCUUUCGCCUGUGACGAAGCGUGAGUGACGGUAAUGGGUAAAGAAGCACCGGCUAACUACGUG